rnacentral:rRNA from 1 species
GACGAACGCUGGCGGCGUGCUUAACACAUGCAAGUCGAACGGAAAGGCCCUGCUUUUGUGGGGUGCUCGAGUGGCGAACGGGUGUGUAACACGUGAGUAACCUGCCCUUGUCUUUGGGAUAACUUCUGGAAACUGGGGCUCAUACCGGAUAGGAGCUCCUGCUGCAUGGUGGGGGUUGGAAAGUUUCGGCGGUUGGGGAUGGUCUCGCGGCUUAUCAGCUUGUUGGUGGGGUAGUGGCUUACCAAGGCUUUGACGGAUAGCCGGCCUGAGAGGGGGACCGGCCACAUGGGGACUGAGAUACGGCCCAGACUCCUACGGGAGGCAGCAGUGGGGAAUAUUGCACAAUGGGCGGAAGCCUGAUGCAGCAACGCCGCGUGCGGGAUGACGGCCUUCGGGUUGUAAACCGCUUUCGCCUGUGACGAAGCGUGAGUGACGGUAAUGGGUAAAGAAGCACCGGCUAACUACGUG